GUGAAGUGACUUGCUCAUGGAGCUGAAAUCAGUCGAAGAUACCAGCUGGCUGCAACUGUUUAUUAAAAACACAGCACUGUGCAAACACGAAAGUGGACGUAUACGGUGUGACGCCUGCCCGGUGCCGGAAGGUUAAUUGAUGGGGUUAUCCGUAAGGAGAAGCUCUUGAUCGAAGCCCCGGUAAACGGCGGCCGUAACUAUAACGGUCCUAAGGUAGCGAAAUUCCUUGUCGGGUAAGUUCCGACCUGCACGAAUGGCGUAAUGAUGGCCAGGCUGUCUCCACCCGAGACUCAGUGAAAUUGAACUCGCUGUGAAGAUGCAGUGUACCCGCGGCAAGACGGAAAGACCCCGUGAACCUUUACUAUAGCUUGACACUGAACACUGGUCCUUGAUGUGUAGGAUAGGUGGGAGGCUUUGAAGUGUGGACGCCAGUCUGCAUGGAGCCAUCCUUGAAAUACCACCCUUUAAUGGCUGGUGUUCUAACGUGGGCCCCUAAUCGGGGUUGCGGACAGUGUCUGGUGGGUAGUUUGACUGGGGCGGUCUCCUCCUAAAGAGUAACGGAGGAGCACGAAGGUCAGCUAAUCCUGGUCGGACAUCAGGAGGUUAGUGCAAUGGCAUAAGCUGGCUUGACUGCGAGCGUGACGGCGCGAGCAGGUGCGAAAGCAGGUCAUAGUGAUCCGGUGGUUCUGAAUGGAAGGGCCAUCGCUCAACGGAUAAAAGGUACUCCGGGGAUAACAGGCUGAUACCGCCCAAGAGUUCAUAUCGACGGCGGUGUUUGGCACCUCGAUGUCGGCUCAUCACAUCCUGGGGCUGAAGUAGGUCCCAAGGGUAUGGCUGUUCGCCAUUUAAAGUGGUACGCGAGCUGGGUUUAGAACGUCGUGAGACAGUUCGGUCCCUAUCUGCCGUGGGCGCUGGAGAAUUGAGGGGGGCUGCUCCUAGUACGAGAGGACCGGAGUGGACGCAUCACUGGUGUUCGGGUUGUCAUGCCAAUGGCAUUGCCCGGUAGCUAAAUGCGGAAGAGAUAAGUGCUGAAAGCAUCUAAGCACGAAACUUGCCCCGAGAUGAGUUCUCCCUGACUCCUUGAGAGUCCUGAAGGAACGUUGAAGACGACGACGUUGAUAGGCCGGGUGUGUAAGCGCAGCGAUGCGUUGAGCUAACCGGUACUAAUGAACCGUGAGGCUUAACCUU
rnacentral:rRNA from 1 species